UAGUAAUUCUAGAGCUAAUACAUGCCCCUUUUGCCCUGACCCGCAAGGGGAUGGGUGCAUUUAUUAGAACAGAACCAACCGGGGAUGGUUUCGGCCGUUCCUGUUGAAAUCUGUGAUGACUCUGGAUAACUUUACUGAUCGCAGUCGGCCUUGUGUCGGCGACAAAUCUUUCAAAUGUCUGCCCUAUCAACUUCCGAUGGUAGGUGAUCUGCCUACCAUGGUGAUAACGGGUAACGGGGAAUCAGGGUUCGAUUCCGGAGAGGGAGCCUGAGAAACGGCUACCACAUCCAAGGAAGGCAGCAGGCGCGAAAAUUACCCACUCCCAGCACGGGGAGGUAGUGACGAAUAAUACGAAUACGGGACUCUUCUGAUGCUCCGUAAUUCGAAUGAGUACAAUCUAAAUCCUUUAACGAGGACCAAUUGUAGGGCAAGUCUGGUGCCAGCAGCCGCGG
rnacentral:rRNA from 1 species